GAUGAAGAACGUAGCGAAAUGCGAUAAGUAAUGUGAAUUGCAGAAUUCAGUGAAUCAUCGAAUCUUUGAACGCACCUUGCACUCCUUGGUAUUCCGAGGAGUACGCCUGUUCGAGUGUUAUGAAGCUCUCAAAACGCAAUUGGCUUAAAACCUGAUUGUUGUUUUGGAUUUGAACUUUGCCGUGUUAUAACGGCUGGUUUUAAAAGUAUUAGCUGGUACUAGAACGAAUUGGUUCUACUCAACGUGAUAAUUAUCUGAUCGUUGAGGACAUUCCUUUCACGAGGAAUGGCCAUAGUAAAUUCAAUGGACUGCUUCUAAUCUGGCUUUAAUUCUUUAUUGGAUUAACCACUUUUCAAAUCUGACCUCGAAUCAGGUGGGACUACCCGCUGAACUUAAGCAUAUCCAUAAGCGGAGGA
rnacentral:misc_RNA from 1 species